rnacentral:rRNA from 1 species
UACGUAGGGUGCGAGCGUUGUCCGGAAUUAUUGGGCGUAAAGGGCUCGUAGGCGGUUUGUCACGUCGGGAGUGAAAACUCGGGGCUUAACCCCGAGCCUGCUUCCGAUACGGGCUGACUAGAGGUAUGCAGGGGAGAACGGAAUUCCUGGUGUAGCGGUGAAAUGCGCAGAUAUCAGGAGGAACACCGGUGGCGAAGGCAGGUCUCUGGGCUGUAACUGACGCUGAGGAGCGAAAGCAUGGGGAGCGAACAGG